CUCGUUUCCAUCCUUUGCAUUUUAGCAGUGCAGUUUUUGUCUUUUUUAAAUUGUUUACUUGGCGAUUUCACUUUUUUGGCUGUACAGCGAUUCCCUUGCCGGGAAAGACACGCCACAAUCCGAUCCCAAACGUCCUAUCUUCAACGUUACCUGCUCUACGCCAUUGUUUAUUUGCCAAUCAUAACUGCCCAAAAACUUGCCAAAAAUGCUUCCUCUGUCUUCUCCGUUUCCUCUCUUUCUCCUAACACCGCCGCCGCCAUGCGUCCGCAGUUGUCGAGAGCCGGUCUAAUACUUACCACCAAAAUCCACAUUAUGGCCUUAGAUGGAAUCUUCAAUGUGAACUCUUUAUUCACUUUGGCCCUCUUUCUUGGUCUCGCUUGGUACCCUGCUCCUGAUCCCUCCGUCACCCUCGUCACCGAUCCUUCCUGUGUUGCCAGCUCCGCUAUCGCCGAGGACCUCAUUGCCUUUCAUGUCUACUCUUUUAGCUCUUUUCUCUUCUCCAGCCUCAUUGCUUUAGCUCUCAAGCAGGCUAUCAAGAUUGCAGAUAAAGACGACAAUAAUAUUGUUACUGUUGAUGAGGUGGGAAGUGCGUCCCUGGUGCACGUUAACUUGGUGUUGUUAAGAGUGGGGACUUUGAUUUCUGGGUUUGGGUCUGUUUUCGGAUGUGGAUUCUUGAUGAUGGCUUUGGUGGACUUGGUGCAGAUAAAGUUGGGGACCUUAGCUUGUGGGAGUUUGUAUAGUUUUGCUGCAAUUGGUCCUCUGGUGAUUCUGGUUCCUUUGGCCUUAGUAAUCUAUGUUUUUCUGAUGCUUUAUUCCUUUAUUCGCUAGAGUUUUUUGAAUAAUGUUUAUAGAAUUGAUAAAAAUAUUAUUCUUUUAUUUUAAUGUUUAUAUUUUAUUUGUGAAAUGCAACUUAUGUUGGAACUUUGAAAAGGGAAGUGAAUAAAAAUAAAGUGGAAAAAUAAUAAUUUUUUUUUAUUGAAAAAA
rnacentral:misc_RNA from 1 species